rnacentral:tRNA from 1 species
GUGGUUGUGGCUCAGUGGUAGAGCGUAGGCCUACCACGUGUGAGGCACUGGGAUCGGUCCCCAGCACCACA